rnacentral:lncRNA from 1 species
GUGAUGAACGCCGUGUCAACCGUUACAGCCACAACAGCUUUUUGAAUGAGUAAGUUUAGCUAAGGUUAAGUAAUAGUUCUAGUAUGUCCUCAUAUAUGUCUAAGGUACCGCAUAGUAGCUUGCCCAUUUUUGAAUGCAGGGUGUUGGUCCACCACACAACUAAGGUUCAACUUAGGCGUGCUAGGUUUUUAGUACCACUUAGUAGUUUGAUUGGCUUAGCUGCAUGGUGUUUGUUCACUACACUUCUGAUGGUCAACAUGGGUUUGAUGCACUAGGGCCAUUUUCGGGUUCUGGAUCGUUAAAAUACGAUUAAGCAUUCUAGCCUUUAGCCUUUGAGUACCACAUAGUAGCUCUACCACUUUAGACUGCAGGGUGUUGGUUCACCACACAACUAAGGGUCUGAUGCCGUAGUGUCAUUUUAUGGUCCUUCCUCAUCAAAAUAAACUUAGGCUUUUUGUACCACUUAGUAAUUUGAUUGGCUUAGCUGCAUGGUUUUUGUUCACUACACUUCUGAUGGUCAACAUGGGUCCGAUGCCCUAGGGCCAUUUUUGGGUCCUGAAUCAUCAAAUUACAAUUAAGCAUUCUAGCCUUUGAGUGCUACUUAGUAGCUUUGUCAUCUUAGCCUUCAUGGUCGUGUCCACUACACUACUAAAGUUAUGCAAUGACCUGAUACCAUAGUCUCAUUUUGUAGUCCCUAAUCAUCAUAAUACACUUAAGCAUUCUAGCCUUUGAGUACCUCUUAGUUAGCUUGAUUGGCUUAGUCUACAGGGACUUGGUCCACCACACUAUUGAUGGCAUCAGUCCAAUGUUGGUCCAUUGGACUGAUGCCAUAAUGUCACUUUGUGCUCCCGAAUCAUCAAAAUACACUUAGGAAAGCUAGGAUUUUAGUGCCACUUAGUAGCUUAAUUGGCUUAGCUUAGGUCUUGGUCCAUCACACUAAUGACCCAUGUUGCAGGUCUGACACCGCAUAGACUGAGGAUACUUGGUCUGCACCUCAACAGAACAAACUGUUAUAAUAGUCAUUAGACAUUUGGAACAUCUAUCAUCUUCUAGGACGGCAUUUCUUUGGAGGCACCGAGUUGGUACCAUUUCACAGGCCUUGAAUGGCUAAUGAAGGUAUAUGACAAUCCUAUAAAAUCAUAGUUUGAUAACUUUUUGUGCCUUUCUUAGGUUCUGAAUCAUUGUCUAAUUCUUGGCCACAUAAGGCAAAAUGUGAGUGAGUUGUUACGCCCUGACUGUUCACCUCCCCGAUUUUGGGACUUCCAGUCAAAAUUUUAGAAAAAGUAUCAUUUUUGACGUUAGGGGUCGGAAAAAUUCCAUUUUUUUUUUUGUAAGGGGUAUCUCUAACGUGGCACGGACUGUUGCCGACCUAGGAAAGAAUGACGGAAGCCGUGUAAUAGGGUUGGACGCCUGGAUCGGGAACUGAGACAGCGGAGGCCGGGCGAACACAACGGCGGACGAGGGUAAGCAGGCAAGGUGAGCGAGCGGUGAGAGACGAGAGGAAAAAGAGGAAAAAAAAGGAGGAAAACCAGAGGAACGAGGGACAUCCUUUUUUUUCCAGUGUGGGAAACGGCUGUUCUCCUCCGGGGACAGGAUACGCAUCCGGGCAGGAGCUAGGAGGGCAGACGUUGAGAUGAGGCGCUCCGGCGAAGUCCGUGUGGUUUUUUUUUGUGUGUGUUUUAAGAAAUAGGAAGUGUUCUUUUUGUGUUAAGAAUUUUUUUUUGAGAGGAUACUCCAAUUAUUGUAAAUUUAAUUUCGUUUGCGAGGCCUUCGUGUGGUAACCCUACUGUAAAUCAAAUCAUAAUUAAUAGAAUUUUGUUUCGUCUAAAUUCAGAUUGUUUCAUUUUUUUUAUUAUUUAUUUAGUUAUUUGUUGUUAGUUAUUGUUUCAAUUUUUUUUUUCCGACCCCUGGCGAAUGCCAGUCCACUGACUUUAAUGACUGAGUAAGGUGAACAGUCAGAUACUUACAAGGCAGCUCGUAGCGCAGGGGAAUCGUAUUCGUUUUAAGACUACAAGGUCCACGGUUCGAGUGCGAGGUUUUCUAAACUUUUAAAACAGUUUCUGCUAAGUUUUGAAAAUGGAGUCUAACAAGGAAGAGCUGUCCAAUGAAGAAAAAGAAGCUAAACUACUUCUGACUGGACAUGAUAAGUGUCUGGUGUUAGGUAAUAUUCUAACCGUCAACCAGUCCUUCAUCUUCUUAUUACCUCCUCGUACCUACUUCGUUUAAUAUCUGGAGGACAAAAAAGACAAAUCCUUGGCGUAAAGUGUAGCGAAAGUGCUGAAGGGCAAGGUAAGAAAGUGAGAAAUGCAUCUUCUGCCUAGGUUGCACUACGGAUGACAGAAAAAUUGAACUGUGUCUCCAGCACUUUGGAGUUGAGUUGUAUGAGUUUUCCCUGAAGGAGCAACAACAAUGUUUUGGAUUUGGAGAGGCUCCAGUGAAUAAUUUUUAUUUUCUUUCAGACCUCUUCAAUAAAAAAAAUAAAAUAAAACUCGGCCCAAUUAUUUGAAUUAAACCAAUAAAUCAUUAAAUUUAUUUUAAUUUAUCAGCAAUGUGAUCAUGAUAUCAAGGCUCAUCCAUCACUUUUUGAUGAUUGUGGCUUUUU